GGUACCCAGACUCUGCUGGAAUGGCUGGAUGGGUGCCAUUUUUCAUCCAGAUGGUGCUCACUGCAUCUGUUAAAUCCGGCGGGAAGUUGUGGUCCUCGUGCAGACUGUCAGUAUUCAAGACUAGGUGAUUUUGAGCUCAAGCAAUUAUUGGAACUCACAGAUUCUUUUUUCCUACCUCCCAAGAGAUGACUUUUUUUGUUUGUUUGGUCUUCUUUACUGAGACACCAUCUUCUGUCUUCUGCAGCCUCCAUAAUAAGAAGGUUAUAUACACUCACUGUAGCUUAGAAAAAGGUUAUCAGGAGUUUGUCUGAAAAUGUUAAGAGGUGGUUUGCAGUAAAAGUACCAUUUUAAAAAGACCUAUAAUAAUGAAUACAGGAAUGAAGAAGAAAACUACAAGUAAGAGGAAGAAGCAAAUAAGAAAAGACCUCUCUGGAUCCAGUUGAAAUUAUAAAUACAUAGACAAAUACCCACUA